UGGUGCUUGCACCGAGCGGAAGAGUUGCGAACGGGUGAGUAACGCGUAGGUAACCUGCCUCUUAGCGGGGGAUAACUAUUGGAAACGAUAGCUAAUACCGCAUAAAAGUCGGCAUUGCAUGAUGUUGACUUGAAAGGUGCAACUGCAUCACUAAGAGAUGGACCUGCGUUGUAUUAGCUAGUUGGUGAGGUAACGGCUCACCAAGGCGACGAUACAUAGCCGACCUGAGAGGGUGAUCGGCCACACUGGGACUGAGACACGGCCCAGACUCCUACGGGAGGCAGCAGUAGGGAAUCUUCGGCAAUGGACGGAAGUCUGACCGAGCAACGCCGCGUGAGUGAAGAAGGUUUUCGGAUCGUAAAGCUCUGUUGUAAGAGAAGAACGAGUGUGAGAGUGGAAAGUUCACACUGUGACGGUAACUUACCAGAAAGGGACGGCUAACUACGUGCCAGCAGCCGCGGUAAUACGUAGGUCCCGAGCGUUAUCCGGAUUUAUUGGGCGUAAAGCGAGCGCAGGCGGUUAGAUAAGUCUGAAGUUAAAGGCUGUGGCUUAACCAUAGUACGCUUUGGAAACUGUUUAACUUGAGU
rnacentral:rRNA from 1 species